rnacentral:rRNA from 1 species
AACGAACGCUGGCGGCGCGCCUAAUACAUGCAAGUCGAGCGAGAAGGUGUAGCAAUACACUUGUAAAGCGGCGAACGGGUGAGGAAUACAUGGGUAAUCUACCAUCGAGUGGGGAAUAACCAACCGAAAGGUUGGCUAAUACCGCGUACGCCUCCGAGUCUUCGGGUUCGGAGGGAAAGCUGCACUGUGAGUGUAGCGCUCUUUGAUGAGCUCAUGUCCUAUCAGCUUGUUGGUAGGGUAACGGCCUACCAAGGCUUUGACGGGUAGCUGGUCUGAGAGGACGAUCAGCCACACUGGCACUGCGACACGGGCCAGACUCCUACGGGAGGCAGCAGUAAGGAAUAUUGCGCAAUGGGCGAAAGCCUGACGCAGCGACGCCGCGUGGGGGAUGAAGGUCUUCGGAUUGUAAACCCCUUUCGGGAGGGAAGAUGGAGCGAGCAAUCGUUCGGACGGUACCUCCAGAAGCAGCCACGGCCAACUUCGUGCCAGC